rnacentral:rRNA from 1 species
ACGCUGGCGGCGUGCCUAAUACAUGCAAGUAGAACGCUGAAGAGAGGAGCUUGCUCUUCUUGGAUGAGUUGCGAACGGGUGAGUAACGCGUAGGUAACCUGCCUUGUAGCGGGGGAUAACUAUUGGAAACGAUAGCUAAUACCGCAUAACAAUAGGUGACACAUGUCAUUUAUUUGAAAGGGGCAAUUGCUCCACUACAAGAUGGACCUGCGUUGUAUUAGCUAGUAGGUGAGGCAACGGCUCACCUAGGCGACGAUACAUAGCCGACCUGAGAGGGUGAUCGGCCACACUGGGACUGAGACACGGCCCAGACUCCUACGGGAGGCAGCAGUAGGGAAUCUUCGGCAAUGGGGGCAACCCUGACCGAGCAACGCCGCGUGAGUGAAGAAGGUUUUCGGAUCGUAAAGCUCUGUUGUAAGUCAAGAACGAGUGUGAGAGUGGAAAGUUCACACUGUGACGGUAGCUUACCAGAAAGGGACGGCUAACUACGUGCCAGCAGCCGCGGUAAUACGUAGGUCCCGAGCGUUGUCCGGAUUUAUUGGGCGUAAAGCGAGCGCAGGCGGUUUGAUAAGUCUGAAGUUAAAGGCUGUGGCUCAACCAUAGUUCGCUCUGGAAACUGUCAAACUUGAGUGCAGAAGGGGAGAGUGGAAUUCCAUGUGUAGCGGUGAAAUGCGUAGAUAUAUGGAGGAACACCGGUGGCGAAAGCGGCUCUCUGGUCUGUAACUGACGCUGAGGCUCGAAAGCGUGGGGAGCGAACAGGAUUAGAUACCCUGGUAGUCCACGCCGUAAACGAUGAGUGCUAGGUGUUGGAUCCUUUCCGGGAUUCAGUGCCGCAGCUAACGCAUCAAGCACUCCGCCUGGGGAGUACGACCGCAAGGUUGAAACUCAAAGGAAUUGACGGGGGCCCGCA